rfam:Camelus ferus unplaced genomic scaffold scaffold479, whole genome shotgun sequence.
AAGGGUAUAGCUUAAUUGGUAGAGUGCCUGCUUAGCAUGCACAAGGUCCUGGGUUCAAUCCCCAGUACCUCCA